UACGUAGGGCGCAAGCGUUGUCCGGAAUUAUUGGGCGUAAAGAGCUCGUAGGCGGUUUGUCGCGUCUGCUGUGAAAACCUAAGGCUCAACCUUGGGCUUGCAGUGGGUACGGGCAGACUAGAGUGCGGUAGGGGUGACUGGAAUUCCUGGUGUAGCGGGUGGAAUGCGCAGAUAUCAGGGAGGAACACCGAGUGGCGAAGGCAGGUCACUGGGCCGCAACUG
rnacentral:rRNA from 1 species